rnacentral:misc_RNA from 1 species
AAGUCGUAACAAGGUCUCCGUAGGUGAACCUGCGGAGGGAUCAUUACACAAAUAUGAAGGCGGGCUGGAACCUCUCGGGGUUACAGCCUUGCUGAAUUAUUCACCCGUGUCUUUUGCGUACUUCUUGUUUCCUGGGCGGGCUCGCCCGCCCUCAGGACCAACCACAAACCUUUUGCAAUAGCAAUCAGCGUCAGUAACAACGUAAUUAAUUACAA